rnacentral:rRNA from 1 species
CAGUAGCCGCGGUAAUACGUAGGGUGCAAGCGUUAAUCGGAAUUACUGGGCGUAAAGCGUGCGCAGGCGGUUCGUUAAGACAGAUGUGAAAUCCCCGGGCUUAACCUGGGAAUGGCGCUUGUGACUGCAAAGCUAGAGUGCGGCAGAGGGGGAUGGAAUCCCGCGUGUAGCAGUGAAAUGCGUAGAUAUGCGGAGGAACACCGAUGGCGAAGGCAAUCCCCUGGGCCUGCACUGACGCUCAUGCACGAAAGCGUGGGGAGCAAACAGGAUUAGAUACCCCUGUAGUCCCUGUCUCUUAUAA